rnacentral:lncRNA from 1 species
UAAAUACCAAGUGUAGGUAGUUGGUGCUUGUAUACUGAAGCUUCGCUUGGGUUGCUUGCGUACUACCUGCGAAGCAGGUUGGGCAACGGCUUGGCUACCUGCUACGCAGGUUGCAAGCUGAUCUGCAAGUGCUUUGUUGGUCCGAAGCUUAGCUUCGGCAACAACAACAAAAGGGCCAACCUACGGUAGCUACCGCGUACGCGGUUAGCUGUGCUUGUAGCCCCCUUUUACCCACCGGCGUAUCAGGUAGCAGCGCAACCGCUUUAGCUAAAGCAAAGGCU